rnacentral:antisense_RNA from 1 species
AUGGAGGGUGCACUUGCUGAUAUGAAGUUUUAUUUUAUACAAAUCCUGGAGAAGCUAAGUGAGGCCAUGUCAAUGUUGCCAGAAGACAUGAGAAUCAUGCCAGAUCUCUGUGGCUUAACAUGGAACAUAGUGUUCUGGAGGCUGGGAAGUUCAAGGUACCAGCAAAUUUCAUUACCUGUUGCCCCAUGAUGGCACACAGCUUUACUCAGCAAACCCUGCCAGCUUCCAAGCCCUAGGAUACUGACCUGCAUCAGCACAUGGGGCAGCAUUACCUCCCCAACAGUGUGGAGAAGAGAACAUUUCACCACUGGGUGAUGAGAGAGUAGACAGUGACUCUUGGCUUCUCAAUGCUAGACAUGAUUGGAGACCUUUCAUUGUUCUGUUAGAAAAGUCCAUGAAGAAGCUGUGA